rnacentral:misc_RNA from 1 species
AACACUGUUAACCUGCGGUACCUGCGGAGGGAUCAUUAUUGGAAAUCCUUUUACAAAAAAAAGUUGUGGAGGGAAAAAAAGUAUUUUCUUUUUUUCUCCUCUGCUUCUUUUUUUUCAAACAAAUGAUCACAACAACUAUAAUCUGAUGGAUGGAUGCUAUAUUGAUUUGGUUGGCUUGGCUUGAUUUAUUUAUAGCAAUAGCAACAAAAGUGUUUGCCUGAUAAGAGAAACAUACAUUUU